rnacentral:lncRNA from 1 species
CAUUCUGGAAGUGCACAUGCUGGAGCACCCACAUGGCUGCUAUUACAAGUAUUUUUUUCUCUUAUGAAAACUACUUAAAAUUUGAAGAUAAUCAUAGUCUGCUGGCAUACUGCCUAGUUUGUUUUUUUUAGAUAUACCACAUUUAAUGAUAUUUUAAAAAUACAUUUUAGUGUACCAAAAAUAAAUUUAAAUUGCAGUAUUAGUGUGUGUGUGUGUGUGUGUGUGUGUUUGUGUAUAUAUAUAUAUGUAUCUACACAUAGAUACAUACAUAUCUAUAUAUGCAUAUGUGCAUGUGUGUGUGUGUGUGUAUAAGCGUGUGCAUAUUUUUUAACUUUCUUGGCUCUUGUUUUCCUUGAGAAAAUUGAAGCUUCAGAGGUAGGGUGUAGCAUAGCAUACUGUUAUCCCAGCACUUAGGAGUUUAAGACCAGCCUUAGGCUGGAGAGAUGGCUCAGCAGUUAAGAGCACUGAGUUCAAUUCCCAGCAACCACAUGGUGGCUCACAACCAUCUAUAAAGGGGUCUGAUGCCCUCUUCUGGUGUGUCUGAAGACAGUUAUAGUGUACUCAUAUCCAAAAAAUAAAUAAUAAUUCAUUAAAAAAAAGACCAGCCUUAGAUGCAUAUUCAACUCAAGGCUACCCUGAGCUACAUAAGACUGUCCCAAAAAACUGAAGGGAAACAAAAACGUGGCAGAGAGAAGAAAGGAGAAGCACAGCUCUCCCUCCACGGUUGGCCACGGUUGGCCACGGUUGGCCACUGUCCUGUUGCUGUUCUGAAUUACAGCCUCUCUUCAUUUUCACCUCAGGGCUUCUCAUGUGUGCUUCUGAGAUACUUUGGUAAUGACAGCUUGUUUUGGCGUUUUACUUUGAGGCUUUUAGUUUUUAAAAUUAUAGGAACUUUUAACGUGAAUUUUGUUUGAGGUCUUUUUUUUUUCUUUUAAUAAACUCACACAAAUACUUGAUUGAUACUCCUGAAGUUUGGUGGCUCUGACUGGGUUUGGAGCUCCGAGGCCUGCAGGCCCAUUUGGUUGCAUACUGAGCACAUCCGACCGACGGAUUCCUAAAGUCUUUCAGCCUCCUCGUGCUUGCAGCCCUGUCUCAGGCCUUUGCAGUACACGACGCCUACUCUUGUUCUCAGGCAUUACCUUAAGUGGCUCAUGACAGCAAUAACAGAAUUGUAUUCCUGGGUCCUGUAGUUCAUUAUUCUCUCUGAAGACUUGUAAGAAGUUUACCCUUUAUAUAAAGAUGACUUAGCUUACCCACUAUCGAAAUAAACCUAACUCCACAGUGAAAUCAAAGAGCCGAGUACCCGGGUUAUCCAGCUGACCACUAAAGAUCCUCUGGGGGAUGCCAUUGACUGACAAGUGGCAGCCGGUGGCACAUCUCUGUGUAUUCAAGAGGUCUCAAUAACAUUUUCAUUAUAUAAAGGAUAUCUAGUCUAUAAUUUCUCAAACCGAGAGUUUCCUCCCGAGUGAGCAGUGGCCUGAUGAUGUGUUUCUUUCCCGGUGGCCGCUCGAAAGCUUAGCGUCUUCAAGCUUCUUCCUGUCAAGCGCAUACAGACGACUUCAUGGGGAUGCAUUGUUAUUUAUUAAUCUCCUUGACCGGUCCGACUUACUCUCCUACCUUUAGCUUUCCCUUAAUUCAUUUUUGUCAUACUAAAUGCAUAUUUUAAAAACCAUUAUGAAUGGUUAGAACAUUUUGAAUACAUAUGC